AAGGAUCAUUACCGAGUUAUACAACUCCCAAACCCACUGUGAACCUUACCUCAGUUGCCUCGGCGGGAACGCCCCGGCCGCCUGCCCCCGCGCCGGCGCCGGACCCAGGCGCCCGCCGCAGGGACCCCAAACUCUCUUGCAUUACGCCCAGCGGGCGGAAUUUCUUCUCUGAGUUGCACAAGCAAAAACAAAUGAAUCAAAACUUUCAACAACGGAUCUCUUGGUUCUG
rnacentral:misc_RNA from 1 species